rnacentral:rRNA from 1 species
UGAGGAAUAUUGGUCAAUGGGCGAGAGCCUGAACCAGCCAAGUAGCGUGCAGGAUGACGGCCCUAUGGGUUGUAAACUGCUUUUAUAUGGGAAUAAAGUGAGGGACGUGUCCCUUAUUGCAUGUACCAUACGAAUAAGGACCGGCUAAUUCCGUGCCAGCAGCCGCGGUAAUACGGAAGGUCCAGGCGUUAUCCGGAUUUAUUGGGUUUAAAGGGAGCGUAGGCUGUUUGUUAAGCGUGUUGUGAAAUGUAGGAGCUCAACUUUUAGAUUGCAGCGCGAACUGGCAGACUUGAGUGCGCACAACGUAGGCGGAAUUCAUGGUGUAGCGGUGAAAUGCUUAGAUAUCAUGACGAACUCCGAUUGCGAAGGCAGCUUACGGGAGCGAAACUGACGCUAAAGCUCGAAGGUGCGGGUAUCGAACAGG